GCCUUCGUGGUGUAGUGGACAGCACGCUCGACGCGUAUUCGAGAAGCUCGUGGUUCGAGUCUCGGCGAGGGCA
rfam:Stegodyphus mimosarum contig13461, whole genome shotgun sequence.